rnacentral:lncRNA from 1 species
UGGGAACUUAUUAGGAGGUACGUGUGUUUCCAGGAGGUGAGGGGACAGAAGACAGGUGCACUGGAAGUGGUUUCCCAAAUGUCAAGAGAGUUGCCUAACUCUUUGGAGGAAGAUAAGACUCCAAGAAACAAAAUGAUUAAAGAACAGCCCAAUGGACGUUCCACAUGCCAUAGGGCACAGAAGAUGAGUCUGUGCCCUACACUGUUACCUACAGGCUGAGGUGUACAAUAUGUCAUACAGUAGGUGAGCUAGGCUGGCACUGCUGUGGGGGCGAGCAGGUGGCAGGCAGGCAGCUGUGCAGAGCUCUGACACACGUGCAGGAGGAGAGCAGGCAUCAAGUGGUGGGACUGGGAAACUCCAUGAAAACUCAUGGACGCUGGGACCGGUUUGCAACAAUCGCAGGCCAAGCCUUGAAGGUCCUCAGAUCAAGGCUGAGAUCAAGCCUGGGGUGGGACAGGGCCUGCAAGAGAGAAGGAUGUGGGACCAACCAAGGGAACAAAGAGUUGUGGGCCCCAGAGCAGACCAGUUCUCACAACAGCAGUGGGACCACCUCCCGAGGUUUCAAGCCAUGGGGUUGGACAGCAAGAGGAGGAAUGUAACCUGCACCUAAUAUUGGAGAUGGGCAUGCAUUUUCCUGUAGAAGUAUGGAUUAUACACGGUCCUGGGGCCUACAGCAUAGUGUGUGCCGCUCUAUAAUACACUG